rnacentral:rRNA from 1 species
GCCCUUAGAGUUUGAUCCUGGCUCAGGACGAACGCUGGCGGCGUGCCUAAUACAUGCAAGUCGAGCGGACCGAACGAGAGCUUGCUCUUGUUCGGUCAGCGGCGGACGGGUGAGUAACACGUGGGCAACCUGCCCGCAAGACCGGGAUAACUCCGGGAAACCGGAGCUAAUACCGGAUAACACCAAAGACCGCAUGGUCUUUGGUUGAAAGGCGGCUUCGGCUGUCACUUGCGGAUGGGCCCGCGGCGCAUUAGCUAGUUGGUGAGGUAACGGCUCACCAAGGCGACGAUGCGUAGCCGGCCUGAGAGGGUGACCGGCCACACUGGGACUGAGACACGGCCCAGACUCCUACGGGAGGCAGCAGUAGGGAAUCUUCCGCAAUGGACGAAAGUCUGACGGAGCGACGCCGCGUGAGCGAAGAAGGCCUUCGGGUCGUAAAGCUCUGUUGUGAGGGACGAAGGAGCGCCGUUUGAAUAAGGCGGCGCGGUGACGGUACCUCACGAGAAAGCCCCGGCUAACUACGUGCCAGCAGCCGCGGUAAUACGUAGGGGGCGAGCGUUGUCCGGAAUUAUUGGGCGUAAAGCGCGCGCAGGCGGUCCUUUAAGUCUGAUGUGAAAGCCCACGGCUCAACCGUGGAGGGUCAUUGGAAACUGGGGGACUUGAGUGCAGGAGAGGAGAGCGGAAUUCCACGUGUAGCGGUGAAAUGCGUAGAGAUGUGGGAGGAACACCAGUGGCGAAGCGGCUCUCUGGGCCUGUAAACUGACG